rnacentral:rRNA from 1 species
UACGUAGGUGACCAGCGUUGUCCGGAUUUACUGGGCGUAAAGCGUGCGCAGGCGGUUAUAUAAGUCAGAUGUGAAAUCCCCGGGCUCAACCUGGGACCUGCAUUUGUGACUGUAUAGCUAGAGUACGGUAGAGGGGGAUGGAAUUCCGCGUGUAGCAGUGAAAUGCGUAGAUAUGCGGAGGAACACCGAUGGCGAAGGCAAUCCCCUGGACCUGUACUGACGCUCAUGCACGAAAGCGUGGGGAGCAAACAGG